rnacentral:rRNA from 1 species
CAGGCCUAACACAUGCAAGUCGAACGAAGGCUUCGGCCUUAGUGGCGCACGGGUGCGUAACGCGUGGGAAUCUGCCCCUUGGUUCGGAAUAACAGUUAGAAAUGACUGCUAAUACCGGAUGACGACGUAAGUCCAAAGAUUUAUCGCCGAGGGAUGAGCCCGCGUAGGAUUAGCUAGUUGGUGUGGUAAAGGCGCACCAAGGCGACGAUCGGUAGCUGGUCUGAGAGGAUGAUCAGCCACACUGGGACUGAGACACGGCCCAGACUCCUACGGGAGGCAGCAGUGGGGAAUAUUGGACAAUGGGCGAAAGCCUGAUCCAGCAAUGCCGCGUGAGUGAUGAAGGCCUUAGGGUUGUAAAGCUCUUUUACCCGGGAUGAUAAUGACAGUACCGGGAGAAUAAGCCCCGGCUAACUCCGUGCCAGCAGCCGCGGUAAU